UGAUUUUUUUUCUUCUACAAAUUCAGUUUUUCAACACGAUUGUCUCAUGUCUUUGUCCGUGGUUACUGAGGAAAGUAGUAUGUUUCGUGUUUGAUCUUCAGGUAUCUAGGAUUAUUGAUGGUGACAUGGAUGAUUCCUGUGGUCUGGAGAAUGUUGCUUCCAGUCACUUGCCUAGCUAAAUGCCAAUGCAUGAGAUAGCAUUUGCGUCAACUGAUAAGUCAGAGCUACUUAGUCAUGUAAACAAACUUAUAGGACAUGGUGAGCCAAGAUUAGUACAGUUCUUUACUGUUGAAAUUUGUAAGGGGAUUUAUGGAAGGUUUGUUUAUCUCUCCUCCCGCUCCAAAUUUCAGUAUAACAUUUCUAGCACUGACAU